rnacentral:rRNA from 2 species
UGCCUGCCCUGUGAUUAAAAUUUAACGGCCGCGGUACCUUAACCGUGCAAAGGUAGCAUAAUCAAUUGUCCCUUAAAUCAGGACUAGUAUGAAUGGCCCCACGAGGGUUUAACUGUCUCCCCCCUUUAAUCAAUGAAAUUAACUUUCCCGUGAAGAGGCGGGAAUAAAACUAUAAGACGAAAAGACCCUAUGGAGCUUUAAACUUAUUAUCACUUAUCCCACAAUAUAACAACUUAUAUAUGAUAAAAAUGCUCUUUAAUAGUUUUUGGUUGGGGCGACCCUGGAGAAAAAUGAAUCCUCCAGAUUGAAAACAAUAACCCUUAUGUAAGAACCACAAUUCAAACAAACAAAAAUUUGACAAAACUGACCCAAAGUUAUUUGAUCAGUGAACCAAGUUACCCUAGGGAUAACAGCGCAAUCCAUUUUAAGAGCCCAUAUCGACAAAUGGGUUUACGACCUCGAUGUUGGAUCAGGGUAUCCUAGCAGCGCAGCCGUUGCUAAUGGUUCGUUUGUUCAACGAUUAAUACCCUACGUGAUCUGAGUUCAGACCGGA